GAAAAGGCUGUUUUCACAGCCAAUACAGCAACUUAAGAAAAACAAU
rfam:Ornithorhynchus anatinus chromosome 7, whole genome shotgun sequence.